UCAGUGUCUCUCAAAAUUUGCUGUGAUAUUGUCGUAUCUCAACAAAAUUCCGGACGACCAUCACCGAUAGCGCUUGGAUUUAACCUUGAAAAACAAAAAUUUUCCCAGUAUGCCGUCUACGCAAAACGAAUGGAAUCUUUCGAUGCCUGGCCAGAAUAUUUACCUGUCAAGAAGAUGACCUUGUCGAAGCAGGACUUGAGUUGGGGACAGUGUACGAUGUUACUUCUGUGGCGGUGGACAGAGGAACUGGGAACAGGAUGAUGUACCAAUGGAGGUACACGCCAAGUGGUAUCCAAAAUUCCCACACAUCCUGUUAGCCAAGGGUCAGGCAUACGUUGAGGAACUUGGUCGUGGGGGAAAAUCAGAGGAAGAUAAUUCAUCAGUUCAGAUAUGUAAACAGGAUUAAUGUGUAUAAGACCUAACCAUCUUGAAAGCUGCACAAAGUUGUUUUGAAAUGGAUUACUCAAAAGCUAUGGUUCAGAAAGCGAUCGUCAAAUUCUUUGACAGAUAUGGUAACAGUGAUUUCUAGGCUAAAGACUUGUGUGAGAUUUUGUUUGAACUUGUGGAAGUGCCGACAGAAUCGUUUCCAUUUGUGUCAGAUGACGUUGUAGAUAGUACAAACACAUCUCAACGCUCAACGAGGAGUUGGAAUCCGAGGAUAUCCAGACUCCAUGUAAAUAUGUCAAUGAAGAAAUUGAGAAUUUAAAAGAAGAAAAUCAGAGACUAGGAAAACCAGAUGUGCACGAUUUGUUUGGACAAACGCGCAGAUGUGAUUUUCCUGCCUUGUGGGCACAUGGUCAGCUGUCCAGCACUUGCAAAGUGCCCCAUCUGUAGAAAAGCUAUAAAUGGACAUAUUAAAGCUUUUUUUGCUUUUGCUGUUACGAGUAGCGUAUCGUAGAACACUGGGAUACUCUAGUACACAUAUACAAACAGCAAACUCAGAAUAGUUUGCAUGGUAGAAGCAUCGGCAAACACAUUGAUUUGCAUCCAACCUGUCCUGCAUUAAUUCGCUGUAAAUGUUAUUUCAUAACUGGAAAAUAAGAAAUCCAACAAUCAUAUUGGAUGUACAAUGGUACGGUUUAAUCAGUGACUAUAUGUAUACUAUUGUAUCAAAGUUUUUCUCCCAAAUUUAGGUUUUGGGCUCUUAGUACAAGACACUAAGGGAGGAGAGAACAACAAAAUAUAAGAUUAAAUAAUCACAACAAAAGUCUAGGAAGCUAGGUUAUACAAGUCCAAGUCAUUGGCUAUGGCAUGAAAAUAUCAUACACUCGCCCGCUAAGCUCAAUAGGGAGAGCGCUGACUUAAGGAUAUCAGAGUCGUGGGUUCGAUCCCCGUGCAAGGAAAAUGUUCGCCGAGGCAAUAUAAUAGAAGACAAUGUGUCUGAAAUCAUUCGUCAUCCGCCACAAAUUUAUGUGGAGAAGUUAGCAGUUAU